rnacentral:misc_RNA from 1 species
CUUGGCGUUAGAGGAAGUAAAAGUCGUAACAAGGUUUCCGUAGGUGAACCUGCGGAAGGAUCAUUAACACGUGCUUUAACACGUAUUAACUAAACGCGAACUUGUUGUAAGCCUGUUGCUGGAUAUGUGCUGUACCAUGCGGGAAUGGUGUGACCCUCGGGUCUAACUCAUGGUCUUAUCGUACUCGAUACGAGGUUCAUUCCAGUAAUAGUAGAUGAAUUUCGGCUGCGUAUUAAACCUGCACCUUGGUUUGCAGUCCGGGGUGAAAUUAUUACCUACCCAUUAUUUAUACUUAUUCUGAUUUGUACGUUUAUACGAAUUCCUGACUUAAUUGUUGGUUGAGUUUGUAUCGAUGUCGUAUAUUACUAAUACGAAACAACUCUUAGCAACGGAUAUCUUGGUUCUC